UUCAUAACCACUCCCGCUCCCACUUUCGACAUGUAAUCCUUCUCUUUCUCUUCUGCCACCACUCCGUUUCUCUCCUCUACCCCCUCUCCUUACUCCCCCAGGGCCUUCCCACCCCCGAGAUGGCCGCAGAUGUGGGUAGAGGAGCCAACAACCAUCGCGGGAGUGACCCUGCCUUUGGCAGUGGUCACAGCGCGCGAUGGCGCUCGAUCCUCUCCUCGCUCGGGCUGGUUCUCGACGGGUGUUGAAGGCUUGGCUGUCAGUGAUGUUGGGGACAGGGUUCAUAGUGCUUCUUCGAGUCUCCUCGCACUGUAUGUUUGCUAUUACAGCGUCGAUUUUGGGGAGUUCCGCUCCGAGGAGGAUCUGUGAUCUCAAGCCUUCGUAGCUUGAGUACAAACCUCCCAGGUAGGUAUAUACGAGAUUCUGUUCCGCUCGUCUCUGUAUCUCCUCUGGGUCGUUUGAUGGCGGAAGGUAAUUCUGCAACUCUUCCCAUCUUGUAAGUAUUUCUGUUGCAUAUUAAGAUGAGCUUUUGGUCCCCUGUGUGAUUUGUGAUAACUCUUGCUUGAGUCUGAAUAUGCGUGCGAAGUUGUGUUAGUGGCCGUAUAGGCUCUGCAUUUUGUCCCAUAUUGAUUUUGAUGACUCCAUUAAAAUACAGAGUCUGAAAAUUUGGGUUUCCAUAGUGUUUGUAAGCAUUGACAUGACCAAAUGGUCAGUCGUUUGCCAUUCUUCCAUUCUGUCUAGUUCUUCCUCUGUUGGGGCCUCUAGCCUUUCUGGCUACGGCUGUUGCUUGGUCCCAGUGAUGAACCCCGGCUUUCUUCUACCGCUGAUGCCAAUGUACACUGAUUUCGACCAUUCAAAAUAGUUGGAAUUUCCUUUAAGUGUUAUGUUGGUUAGUUUGUCAUUUUGAGACAUGGCUGGAAAGAAAAAAUUGGUAGAUGAUGGGUACAGGUUAAACCUGCUCUGAUACUAUAUAGAAAAUUGAAAUGAUAAAUUGGUUGUUUAUAUGAUUUUGAUCUUUUUACAAUUAAUUGUGUUGGUAUUUAUAUACACAUAUACAACGGUACCCUAUUUUAUUUGGUUGCCUUGGUAUCUCUGUCCAACGUCCCUUUCUUUUCUGGAAAAAGUUGGAGCGGCCUUCCCCUGUCACACAGGGAUGGUUGCUCCCUUUCUUUAGGGCCUGUGAUGAGCAAUCUUACAUAGGUUUUUCUGCCUGUGCAGUGUCUGAGGCCAUACCUACUUAAUUUCUGCUUUCAACAUUAUUUAACUAUAGAAAUGAAAAGAGUAAGAAAGUGGGAGAAUUUACCGGAAGAUUGUUUAGCCAAUAUUUUUGGAAGGGUAGGGAUUGAGUCGCUGCUUCUGGAUGUGCCCUUUGUUUGCAAAUCUUGGUGUAGGGCAUCGCUUUAACGAGAUUGACUCUGCUACCGUUGGUGGCUAUUUAUUUGAUACUCUUGUCAAUGAUGGGAUUACAAUAGCUGAUAGAUUCAUGCUUCAGUAUAAAAUUAAAAAGUUUUCUGUCCAUUCAUUCGUAAAGUUCAUCGUCAAUCGUAGCUAAGGGAAAUGCUCUGUGCUUUUGAUUCCUAUAAUGAGUUGCACAGAAGAGAUGUUGAAUUAUGUUGCUGACAAGUGUCCGAAUUCGACGUAUUUUUCAUUGCCAAAUUGUGUAUUCCUGGAUGAAGCGGGCGUUAUUUUAGAGCUGAUAGAGAAGUUGAAAGAGUUGCAAUUGUUUGGCAUUGCACCAUCUCCUUGUCUAAUAGAAGUUACAGCCAAAAUCAGUAGUGACUGCAAACACUUCGAGGGGUUAUCUACUCCUUCAGGUUAUAUUGGUGAUGAGGAAGCUUCUGCCAUUGUCACAAAUCUUCCUAGAAUUAGGAGUCUUACUUUAACCAAGUCAUAUAUCGAGAGGGUUAAUGUGGUCAGAAUACUGCAGAGCUGCAAAUUUCUUUAUGAGUUUGUCGUGAGUAGGUGCAGAGGUUCGUGAUUGAUAGGGAGAUACUAAAGAUGGCUUCACAUAUCAAAAUAUUCAACUACAAGGGUUUAUCUCUCGAAGAUGAAGAACAGUGAUCAUUGUAUUACAUUAUUUUUCUUUUCUGAUGAAGAUCAAGAGGCUUAUCUCUGUACCUAAUCUACUGUUCUGUUGACUUAGUAUUAAUUAGCUUGUUCUCCAUCUUAUACUUCGACUUAGUACUUGUUAAUUGCUCGAAGCAUUCUGCUACGUGCUUUUUCCUCAAAAAAAAAAUAAAAAAUGCAAUGUCUGGUUACUUGAAGAAUCUUCACAAAUGAAUUUGAUUAUAAUGCUACAGCUUCUUUAUCUUUUGUUUUUCC